UUCUCUGCGCCCCCGGGACUGCACGGAACCGGUCAAUCAACCAAUUAUCGACCCAGGCCCGUGGCUUCCGGCGAGGCGCGGCAGGCUGCUCCUCCUAAGGCCAUCUGGAACCUUCCCAAGGCAUCGUCCGCACCGCGGGACGCGCGCGCCCCCCAGCGGACGCCGGCGGGAUCGGCGCGCGAGGCGUGAGGGCUCAGAACAUUCUUGCAUAGUCGUGGCAUCCAUUUCGCCUUCAGAAAUGACACGUGAGGGGCGGGAGCGAUAGCACGGUGGCGCUGCUCCUCCUGCUGGCCCUCGGCACUUUCCUCAUCUGGAGGAACUGGCGGCUGAAGAGCGUCAACAGCAUCAACUUCGACAACCCGGUGUACCAGAAGACCACGGAGGACGAGGUUUGCAUCUGCAGCGCCCAGGAAGGCUACAGCUACCCCUCGAGACAGAUGGUCAGCCUGGAAGAGGACACGCCCUGAGCCACUGUGUCCAGCCUCCUGGGUGAGGAAGAGGAAGAGGAAGAAGAAGAUUCCCCAGUGAUCCCUGGAAGAUCACUCCCUGUUUCCUGUUACACACCCCAGGAGUGCCUGGGAUUGAACCUAGUCGGCCAUGAGCAAGACUAGGCUCUUCCCUUUGAGCCAGAAAAGUUCUGAGCCUACUUUGCUGUCUCUCUGACAAAGCCCUCGGGAAAGGUCUUAUGGUCCACCCCCACGCACCAUCACCCCACAUUUCUGUCUUUUUUUUCCUAGUGAAUCACCGUGAGAUAGUUACAAAGCUUUCCUGUUUGAGCUUCAGCCAUAUGAUGAUCAAACACCCAUCCCUCUACCAGUGCACAUUUUUCACCACCAAUGUCCCAGUAUUUCUCCCUGUCGCAGUUCUCACCCUGCCUCUAUGUCAAUUUCCCCCAUACUCUCCCUCUCUACUUCUGCACCCCACAUUUCUGAGGGUGCCCCAACACUCUUCUACAAGGAGAAGGGCAUGAAAGCAAGAAAAAAUUCAGGACCCCCCCCAAGCUGGGGUGAGGGAAUCCUCCAUCAAGGGACUGAGGGUCCUUUUUUCCUCUCUCUCUCUCUCUCUCUCUCUCUCUUCUUUUUGUUUGUUUGUUUGUUUAUGGUUUGGGGGCCACACCCAGCGAUGCUCAGGGGGUACUCCUGGUUCUGUACUCUGAAAUCACUCCUGGUUCUUCUGGGGGACUGUAUGGGGGUUCAAACGAACUGGGUCCUAUGAAUGCAAGGCAAGAGCCCUAAUAGCUCUGCUCCAGCUGCAGCGGCCAAAGCUGCGUGCUUGAUCCUUAAUGAGCCCAUACUUAACAUUGAAGCAAAGAAAAGGGCUGGAACUCUUAAACGUGGGAAAGUCGGGCCGCGGUAGUUCUGCCGAAAAUCCACGAGAUGGCGCUGUGAGUGUUUCCGUCCCUCCCCAGGCCCAUUUCUCUAAGAAACUUCCACUCUAGGUUUGCUUCAACGUUAAGUAUGGGGUAAUUAAGGAUCAAGCACGCAUCUUGGACUGGUGCAGUAGGAGAACUAUGUGGGUGCUUGUCUUUCACGUGGGUCACCAGGGUUUGAUUCCCGACAUCCAGACUUUUAGGGGAGUACAUAGCUGAAUCCUCUCUGGGGGCUCAGGGGGUAACCCCAGCUUUUUUCUAGGGACCAUAAGGGGUGCAGAGGAUUGAACAGCCUGGUCUCCCACAAGCAAGGCAAGGUUAUUUUCUUUUAUUUUUUUGUUCUCUUCGCUUUGAACAAGAAAACAUCUGAACCCGCAUUGCUGUGUCUGUGAUGGAGCCCUUUGGGAAUAUUUCCUGUUAUGGUGAACCCUGUACCCCAUCACACCACAUUCUAAGGGUGCCUCAGCCCUCUUCUACAAGGAGGAGGGGCCAUGAAAGCAAGAUAAAACUCAGACCCCCUCUCCAAGUCGGGGUGAGGGAAUCCUUCAUCAAGGAACUGAGGCUGCUUUUUUCCUCUCUCUUGUUUGUUUUUUUUUUUUGUUUAUGGCUUGGGGCCACACCCAGAGAUGCUCAUGGGUACUCCUGGCUUUGUUUUCUGAAAUCACUCCUGGUCCUACUGGGGGACCGUAUGGGGAGCCUACAAAUGAACCAGGGUUCUGUGAAUGCAGGGCAAGAGCCCUAACCGCUCUGCUCCGGCUGCAGCAGGCGAUGCUGCGUGCUUGAUCCUUAAUUACCCCAUACUUAACGUUGAAGCAAAGAAAAGGGCUGGAACUCUUAAGUGUGGGCAAGUCGGGCCACGGCAGUUCCACCGGGAUGCCACGAGAUGGCACUGUGGGGAGUUUCCAUCCUCCCCAGGCCCAUUUCUCUAAGAAAUUUCCACCCUCGGGUUUGCUUCAGUGUUAGGUAUGGGGUAAUUAAGGAUCAAGCACGCAGCUUUGACAGUUGCAGUGAUAGGAGAGUUGUGUGGGUGCUUGUCUUUCACACGGGUGACUUGGAUUCGAUUCCUGCCAUCCAGACUUUUAGGGGAGUACAUAGAUGAUUCUUUAGUAUGGGGUACCGGUGAAUUUACCCGAGUCCCCCAAAUUCAAGACAAGAGCCUUAACCGCUCUACUGUUGUCACAUGACCCUAGGCUGCGUGCUUAACCCGUAUUUACCUCUUACUUAACAAUGAAGCAAACCCAAGGGUGGAAAUUUCUUAGAGAAACGGGCCUGGGGAGGGUAGGAAAUGCCCACAGCGCCAUCACGUGGCGUUUCGGAGGAACUGCGUGGCCCAACUUUCCCACGCUUAAGAUUUCCAGCCCUUUUCUUUGCUUCAAUGUUAAGUAUGGGCUUAACAUUAAUUAAGGAUCAAGCACGCAACCUAGGUUCCUGGAUCGAAAACUGAGCCAGGAGGGAGCUUGCCUGGUAUGGGGCGGCCCGGGUUCUAUCCCUGCACCCAUACGUUCCCCUGCGCCUGGUCAGGAAUGAUUCCUGAGUGCAGAGUCAGGAGUAACCCCGGAAUAUCGCUGGGUAUGGUCCCAAAGCAAAAACAAACAGAAGCCUGUCAUGGCGGAUUUCUUCACGCCAAGUUUGGGGGCUACUGAGCUGAAUCUUGCUUCCACCAUCUUCCUCCAUGUAAAACUGUGAAGGCUGCACCCCCAGAAAUGUGGGAUGAUGGAAUGUGGGGGGUGACCAGGACAGGAACCAUUUGCGAACAGGGGCUUAGAGGGAGAGAUUCUACUGCGGGCAAAGCGCUCGAUACGCUGCUGGGUUCAAUCCCUGGCACCGGGUCACCCCAUGCGAGGCAAGGACGCCCCUGAGGCGGCCUGCUUGAUCCUAGUGACCCGCAGGUUAACGUGGAAGCUUAAACCCAAGGCGCAGGCAAGUCGGACCAUGGCUCUUCCCAUGAUGUACCACGAGAGGGCGCUGUGGGGCUUUUCCAUUCCUCCCAGGGAAGGUUCUCUAAGAAAUGUCCACCCCUGGUCCUGACGUCCCUCCAGAAACUGCUACAGCUCCCCAGGACCCUCAGAAUUUCUGCAGUGGGGAACCCCAUCCUCACCCACCGCCGAGUCCUCCAUAGUGAGAAUUAGUGAUUGCGGGCAAGGAACUUUCUUGUUUCUUGCCAACAUGGACCAGUCCCCCAGACCACCUAGUGUCCCCCGAGCGCCCCUGAUGUUCUGCUGUGGCCAUUGACACCAAUCCCCAAGAUACUGAAGCCAGAACCACGUGGAGCUCAGGGUGGGUCAUAGCCUUCUCUGCACAGAGACCUGGGGUCCUGGAGGGCCGGAAUCCGGCUUGGUCUCUUGUAGGAAAAGAGCAUCAUCUUUGUACUGUCUUGAACCUGAAACUGUAUUUUAUUUUAUUUUUUCCUUUUUGGUCACACCCAGCAAUGCUCAGGGGUUCCUCCUGGCUCUGCACUCAGGAAUUACUCCUGGUGGUGCUCAGGGGACCAUAUGGGAUGCUGGGAAUCGAACCUGGCUCAGCCGUAUGCAAGACAAACGCCCUACUCGCUGUGCUAUCGCUCCAGCCCCUGUAUUUUUUUCAACUUUUGUUUUACAUCCACACUCGUCGAGACUCCUGGCUGACUUCUGGCUCAGGGAACCAUCCUUGGUGCUUAUGGGAACUAUGUGGGGUGCCACAAACCGAGUAUUGCACAAAGGCAAGCACCCUACUUGCUAUACUCUCUGUCCCCCUUCACUUAGUCUUUUAUCAGUAUUGUGGUUUUGGGGGCCGACCCGGGUUCGAUUCCCAGCAUCCCAUAUGGUCCCCUGAGCACCACCAGGAGUAAUUCCUGAGUGCAGAGCCAGGCCAGGAGUAAGCCCUGUACAUUGCCGGGUGUGACCC